rnacentral:rRNA from 1 species
AAAUUGAAGAGUUUGAUCAUGGCUCAGAUUGAACGCUGGCGGCAGGCCUAACACAUGCAAGUCGAGCGGUAGCACAGAGAGCUUGCUCUCGGGUGACGAGCGGCGGACGGGUGAGUAAUGUCUGGGAAACUGCCUGAUGGAGGGGGAUAACUACUGGAAACGGUAGCUAAUACCGCAUAAUGUCGCAAGACCAAAGUGGGGGACCUUCGGGCCUCAUGCCAUCAGAUGUGCCCAGAUGGGAUUAGCUAGUAGGUGGGGUAACGGCUCACCUAGGCGACGAUCCCUAGCUGGUCUGAGAGGAUGACCAGCCACACUGGAACUGAGACACGGUCCAGACUCCUACGGGAGGCAGCAGUGGGGAAUAUUGCACAAUGGGCGCAAGCCUGAUGCAGCCAUGCCGCGUGUGUGAAGAAGGCCUUCGGGUUGUAAAGCACUUUCAGCGGGGAGGAAGGCGAUAAGGUUAAUAACCUCAUCGAUUGACGUUACCCGCAGAAGAAGCACCGGCUAACUCCGUGCCAGCAGCCGCGGUAAUACGGAGGGUGCAAGCGUUAAUCGGAAUUACUGGGCGUAAAGCGCACGCAGGCGGUCUGUCAAGUCGGAUGUGAAAUCCCCGGGCUCAACCUGGGAACUGCAUUCGAAACUGGCAGGCUAGAGUCUUGUAGAGGGGGGUAGAAUUCCAGGUGUAGCGGUGAAAUGCGUAGAGAUCUGGAGGAAUACCGGUGGCGAAGGCGGCCCCCUGGACAAAGACUGACGCUCAGGUGCGAAAGCGUGGGGAGCAAACAGGAUUAGAUACCCUGGUAGUCCACGCCGUAAACGAUGUCGAUUUGGAGGUUGUGCCCUUGAGGCGUGGCUUCCGGAGCUAACGCGUUAAAUCGACCGCCUGGGGAGUACGGCCGCAAGGUUAAAACUCAAAUGAAUUGACGGGGGCCCGCACAAGCGGUGGAGCAUGUGGUUUAAUUCGAUGCAACGCGAAGAACCUUACCUGGUCUUGACAUCCACAGAACUUUCCAGAGAUGGAUUGGUGCCUUCGGGAACUGUGAGACAGGUGCUGCAUGGCUGUCGUCAGCUCGUGUUGUGAAAUGUUGGGUUAAGUCCCGCAACGAGCGCAACCCUUAUCCUUUGUUGCCAGCGGUUAGGCCGGGAACUCAAAGGAGACUGCCAGUGAUAAACUGGAGGAAGGUGGGGAUGACGUCAAGUCAUCAUGGCCCUUACGACCAGGGCUACACACGUGCUACAAUGGCAUAUACAAAGAGAAGCGACCUCGCGAGAGCAAGCGGACCUCAUAAAGUAUGUCGUAGUCCGGAUUGGAGUCUGCAACUCGACUCCAUGAAGUCGGAAUCGCUAGUAAUCGUAGAUCAGAAUGCUACGGUGAAUACGUUCCCGGGCCUUGUACACACCGCCCGUCACACCAUGGGAGUGGGUUGCAAAAGAAGUAGGUAGCUUAACCUUCGGGAGGGCGCUUACCACUUUGUGAUUCAUGACUGGGGUGAAGUCGUAACAAGGUAACCGUAGGGGAACCUGCGGUUGGAUCACCUCCUUA